rnacentral:rRNA from 1 species
UACGUAGGGGGCAAGCGUUGUCCGGAAUCAUUGGGCGUAAAGCGCGUGUAGGCGGCUCGAUAAGUCUGCUGUGAAAGUUCAGGGCUCAACCCUGAAAUGCCGGUGGAAACUGUCGAGCUAGAGUCCGGAAGAGGCGAGUGGAAUUCCUGGUGUAGCGGUGAAAUGCGCAGAUAUCAGGAGGAACACCAAUGGCGAAGGCGGCCGGCUGGGGGCGCCCUGACGCUGAGGCGCGAGAGCGUGGGGAGCGAACCGG